rnacentral:rRNA from 1 species
ACGGUCCUAAGGUAGCGAAAUUCCUUGUCGGGUAAGUUCCGACCCGCACGAAAGGCGUAACGAUUUGGGCACUGUCUCAACGAGAGACUCGGUGAAAUCAUAGUACCUGUGAAGAUGCAGGUUACCCGCGACAGGACGGAAAGACCCCGUGGAGCUUUACUGUAGCCUGAUAUUGAAAUUCGGCACAGCUUGUACAGGAUAGGUAGGAGCCUUUGAAACGUGAGCGCUAGCUUACGUGGAGGCGCUGGUGGGAUACUACCCUAGCUGUGUUGGCUUUCUAACCCGCACCACUUAUCGUGGUGGGAGACAGUGUCAGGCGGGCAGUUUGACUGGGGCGGUCGCCUCCUAAAAGGUAACGGAGGCGCUCAAAGGUUCCCUCAGAAUGGUUGGAAAUCAUUCAUAGAGUGUAAAGGCAUAAGGGAGCUUGACUGCGAGACCUACAAGUCGAGCAGGGUCGAAAGACGGACUUAGUGAUCCGGUGGUUCCGCAUGGAAGGGCCAUCGCUCAACGGAUAAAAGCUACCCCGGGGAUAACAGGCUUAUCUCCCCCAAGAGUUCACAUCGACGGGGAGGUUUGGCACCUCGAUGUCGGCUCAUCGCAUCCUGGGGCUGUAGUCGGUCCCAAGGGUUGGGCUGUUCGCCCAUUAAAGCGGUACGCGAGCUGGGUUCAGAACGUCGUGAGACAGUUCGGUCCCUAUCCGUCGUGGGCGUAGGAAAUUUGAGAGGAGCUGUCCUUAGUACGAGAGGACCGGGAUGGACAUACCUCUGGUGUACCAGUUGUCGUGCCAACGGCAUAGCUGGGUAGCUAUGUGUGGACGGGAUAAGUGCUGAAAGCAUCUAAGCAUGAAGCCCCC